GAUGAACGCUAGCUACAGGCUUAACACAUGCAAGUCGAGGGACCGGCGCACGGGUGAGUAACGCGUAUCCAACCUGCCCAUAAGUAGGGUAUAACCCGCCGAAAUGCGGACUAAUCUCCCAUGCUUAUGGAUGGGGAUGCGUCCGAUUAGCUUGUUGGUGAGGUAACGGCACGCCAAGGCUUCGAUCGGUAGGGGUUGUGAGAGGAGGGCCCCCCAAAUAGAAACUGAGACACGUGCCCAACGGCAACGGGAAGCAGGAGUGAGGAAAAUUGGUCAAUGGGCGAGAGCCUGAACCAGCCAAGGAGCGUGGAGGGUGACGGCCUAUGAGUUGUAAACUGCUUGUAUGCGGGGAUAGGUACCGCAUGAAUAAGGACCGGCUAAUUCCGUGCCAGCCGCCGCGGUAAUU
rnacentral:rRNA from 1 species